GACGAACGCUGGCGGCGUGCCUAAUACAUGCAAGUUGAGCGCUGAAGGUUGGUACUUGUACCAACUGGAUGAGCAGCGAACGGGUGAGUAACGCGUGGGGAAUCUGCCUUUGAGCGGGGGACAACAUUUGGAAACGAAUGCUAAUACCGCAUAAAAACUUUAAACACAAGUUUUAAGUUUGAAAGAUGCAAUUGCAUCACUCAAAGAUGAUCCCGCGUUGUAUUAGCUAGUUGGUGAGGUAAAGGCUCACCAAGGCGAUGAUACAUAGCCGACCUGAGAGGGUGAUCGGCCACAUUGGGCAUGAGGCACGGCCCAAACUCCUACGGGAGGCAGCAGUAGGGAAUCUUCGGCAAUGGACGAAAGUCUGACCGUGCAACGCCGCGUGAGUGAAGAAAGUUUUCGUAUCGUAAAACUCUGUUGGUAGAGAAGAACGUUGGUGAGAGUGGAAAGCUCAUCAAGUGACGGUAACUACCCAGAAAGGGACGGCUAACUACGUG
rnacentral:rRNA from 1 species